AUGGAGGCGGGUUCGGAGACGACGGGGGAAGCGGGAACCGAGAGGGCCGGGGGGAGUAGGAGAACGUUGAGGAAGACCACAAAGGCGGAUUAUCCAUCGGUGCUGGACGUGAUGGAUGCCGCGAUGAAUCAGGUACUAGAGGAGCAAAUGGAGUGGCUGGUGGCGAGGUGGAACGCCGAGAACCCCGACGCGACGCCGCUCGUGGUGGAAGCGCUCACGGAGGAGCAGCGAGAGUCGCUGGAGCGAGAGCAUUUGGCCAGGGAGGUGUUGAUUGGUCAGGCGUACGUGGAUAAGAUGGCGGCCGAAGACAUGGCAAGACUGGAGUUGGAGAAAACAAAUCCGAAGAAGGAUCCCGACGAGCGGUCUUACCAAUCUUACCGAGAGAACUGGGAGUGGAAAUAUGCUGAAGAGUUCGGCUCCUUCGAGGCCACGAUUAAAGUUGAGGAAAUAUAUGGGGAUUUACAUUGGCCACUGGAUGUGUUUGGUCUCGUUGCUGUGAGGGAUGACCUGGAUCACCAUCGCAAUAUUAUCUUUGAGCGCAAAAGGGAUAACUGCCAAACUCUCAAUGAGGAGGAUCCAUAUUUAGUAUUAACAGGUCCUACCCGUGCUCCCGUGACUCUGUUUGGGCCUAUGCAUUUCGAUAUCACGCUGAAAGUGAAGCGCAUUAAUGAGUUAGAGGACAAAGAUCUAAGCCUGCUAGGCUUUCGCUACGAGUGCUGCAAGUCAAUCAAUUAUCAAGCAAGUAAGGGAGAGUGCGCCCUCAGAUCAUGCGUGAGCAGCCAAAAACGUAGAAGCAAGAUGAGCACAUUGGAGCUGACAUGUGGCAUUGUAGCCUCAUCCAUUGAGGCCACAAUCAGUGUGCGUAUUGUUGGUGGGUCCUGGCCAGAUGGAUUCAGCGGGCGGUUCAUUGCCUCGACUGCAAGCGUCAGUCACAUGAGGGUGUUACUGCUUAAUAUUGGAGAUAAGGAUACGCCUGUUGUUGCUGCUGAUGGCACCAUUGAGCUGUCACGACGCGUGGUUUCUGUUGAAAGCUUUGGGGAGCUGAGAGUGCAUGCAGCAGGUUGGCUAGGCAGCCAGCAGAUUGACAGUGAGGUGUUCUUUAAACCAUUAGAAUCUGGUAGAAGCUCUCGUUCGCUUAAGGUUGGCUCGUGUGAAAUGGAAGUUACCGUUGGCUGGUCCCUUUUUCCGUUAUGUUAUCCCAUUGACCGUAUUCCUUCACCCAAGAAUGGGUGA
rnacentral:rRNA from 1 species